UCUCUUUCACAUUCUGCGAUUCGGCACUAUAUGAACCUCGUCAGCUUGCUGACUAUGGCGAUAAACGGUGCGUGGAAUAAGCGUUGUGGACCCGGGGGCGGUACCCGGCGCCUCCAUAUCUCUGGUAGCCCAAGGGCUGCCGCGCGGCCCGAUUCAGACGACGCGGCUUUGCCACUUUGUCAUCGGGACGCGGUCCGGGGGUUUACGGGGGCGAAAUAGACUCGACACGCGUGGUAAAGACCCAUCUUUUGCCCGGCAUUGUACCGCCGUUAUCGGGCUAAUUUUUAAAUGCGAACGAUAACAACGUAGCAUUCGCUGUCGCUGCCUAAUUAGCAGCUAAGCGCGGUUCGGGGGGCACCGGGCAACAGAA
rnacentral:tmRNA from 1 species